ACUACAUAAAAUAAUUUCAGAUGUCUUUGGCUGCAGUUUAUAAGUGGUUUAUUUUUCAGAUGAUUUUAUUGGUCUUGAAGAUAUAAAUAAAAAUCACCAGGAGAAUCAAGACUCUUCUGAAACACUUGAAGUAGUGGAGCUGUUUCAAGGGGUGAUAGAGGAGAACAUUGUGGCCUGCACUGGCCCCGCCUCUCUGGAUGCUGUGUCUCAUCAGCCAUGACUGACUAUAUUAAAUUCUGCAUGAUGGAAAAGAAACUUCUCACUUUGAUUGCACCAUGGAAGGACUCCAGUUGGCCACCGAGGAUUUUAAACGUGAGGAGUAACCUCGAAGGAAGAAAACACUGUAGAUUCUUGGCAUGAAUCUCUGGCUACCUUCUCCACAGCCCCCUGACAGCAACCUCUCUGUCCACGUAUGAAAAGUCAAAAUUGAGAUAACUCUGUUGUGUGUACCAUAGGGUCACUUUCUGAAGCCCUUUGGGAUUUAUACCUUCUUAGCACAUCCUUGAGUGUGGUACAAAGAGAUUGAGAUAAGAAACCUGUAAGCAGAAAGGAGAUGUCUGUCUGCAUGAGGUGUGAGCUUCAGACUCUGGUAUUUAAUUCACUUGUACCAGGAUCCAAGAUGUUGCCACAUCAGCUGGUACACGAACUGGUAGUGAUGCCUACCUGCAGGGAAAGGUGCCUGUUAUAUGUCUUACCCUACUUUUGCUUUUCAUCCUGCCAGUCAUAAUCACACCCCAGUCUGUUUACAACCUCAGGUGGACUGUUUUCAUCAGUAACUCCUACUCCUUCACCCAGAGGUGCACAACUUAACCACUUUUUCUCCUAAAACUAGGCUUAGUGCUUCCCUUCAACUACACUUAUUUGGGACUAUAGAAAUAAGGAGAAAAUUCACUGUAGAUCUGGUUCAGACACAUUGGAGGUGAGGUGCAUAUGGUUUGUGGUAGAUUGAUAAGCCUUAUAAGCACUGAUAAUGAGUGAUUUGAUAUUUCCAUUAGUAGUAUUGCUUUUGCUAUUUUUUACUUACAUUCUUAUGAUUUAAGCCUGAAGCAGUUGUUUCCUCUUUUUU